UCUACCUUAAUUUGAUCACCUGCUCAUGGUUCGUUCUAGUGAGUUUAUGUGCUUUCAGCCGAAAUGGACAUUCUUACCAUGUGGACUUGGUCAUCAUUGUUAUGCACUGCGAGCAUUAUCGGUAAUAUGUGUUUUUCUGUCAUGAGCAGGUGGAGCUAUGGCUAAGGGAAAUGGACGUGGAGUACUAGUCCUGGACUUAAGCGGCUGGCAGAGGCAUUAUCGCAGCACAAGCGAGCAUGGACACGCGCUGCUCAGCGGCAAACUGUCCGUUCUGCCCCCUUCUCAUCAGCUUGGCUCAUCUACUGCUUGUUAAACCACGGCCGAUCCACUUUGACUAGGAGCAUAUCUGCAACCAAUCUCUUCAACUGAAACCAGGGAUCGACACCGUCUGCCUCCGGUCAUGAAGGCCAAGCAAAUUGGUGAAGUCUACUUUGAUAUCAGAGAUCAACAAGUUGACUAGGUAUAAAGCAGAAAGAAAAAAAAAGAAGAAGGAAAGGCACAACGAUAUCCGAGCACUGUCACCAUGGUUGGUAUCACAGAGAAACAACAUUGGUUCUAUCGUGCUUGUAAGGUCUGCAACUCUAAAGUGAUUAUAGGAACCAAUGUAUUUGAAUGUACAAAGGAUGGAGGGUUUCCUUGCACACAAUUUGACUUAAAGUAAGAUAUAUUAACCCUAACUUUAUUUUUAUAGCAAUCAAUGAAUGAGAAUAAUAAUUCAUGUUCAGAAUUAAUUUCUCAUGUACUAGAUACCAUUUAUAGUAACUGAUGAUACUUAUAACAUUGAGUUUAUGAUGUUGGAAAAAAGAGGAGCAGAACUAAUUGGAAAAGGUAUAUGAAUCUGGAACAUCUGGAUAAUAAUUAUAUUAUCAUGUUUCAUACCUAUCAAAUAUACUAUUGUACUACCACGAAAUUGUCAAAUGCUCUUUGUUUUGUUCUAAUGCAGCAUAUCCGGCUUACCAAGUUCUAAUUAACUAUGACAUUAUCCUCAACUGCUGCUACAACGGUAUUCACGCUGGCCUAGCACAUGCCCAAGCGCGGCAUAUUGAUUCUAGUUGUAUUAUCUUUGUUCACUUGUGAUUUUGUGAUUGACUUUUAAUUGUUUGUUACUCUAUACAUUUUUUUCAUUCACAUUCAUAUUUUUUUUUACUUUUCAUCGUACCUCCAUAUAUUGUGUUUACAUGAAAAUCAGUAUUUUCUAUUGCUAC